rnacentral:lncRNA from 1 species
AUGGCCCCAUUGGAAGACCUAAAAUAUUUCUUCUCUGUUCUUUUACAGAAAGUGUUUGCUGACACUUUUUCUGAGACCUCAAAGAAAGCGAAGGUGACAAGAAAAGAGGAAUUGUGGGAAAUGGAAUCUGUUUCAUCAUCUGAGAGACCAGAACUCAAGAAUGUUAAGAUCCUUUUCUGCUCUCAAUAUGGCCAUCAGAGAAGCAUAGGCAGUUCCAGCUAUUGCGGAAUUCUACACUCAGAAGAACCCACCUAUACCUGGAGAAGUAAUGGUUCUGUGGACUUGUAUUUGGAAGAAAGUCUCCAGGAACCUCUGCAGAGCAUAAAUGCAAACCAGCUGGGACAAGUCUCCCUCUUCCAGCCAAAAGGAGGAAAAGUUUGAUUAUAUGGUGGGUUACAUUGAUGGAUUUUCAUAUGUUGAACCAUCCUUGCAACCCUGGGAUGAAGCCUACUUCAUGGUGGGUGGUCUUUCUUUCUUUCUUUCUUUCUUUCUUUCUUUCUUUCUUUCUUUCUUUCUUCCUUCCUUCCUUCCUUCCUUCCUUUCUUUUUUUGAGACAGGGAUUCUCUGGGGCUUUGGAGGCUGUCCUGGAACUAGCUCUCAUAGGCCAGGUUGGUCGUAAACUCACAUAGAUCCACCUUCCUCUGCCUGCAGAGUGCUGGGAUUAAAGGUGUGAGCCACCACCGCCCAGCUUUGAUGUUUUUUGGCCAGUAUUUUGUUGAGUAUUUUUGCAUCUAUGUUCAUGAGGGAUAUUAGUCUGUAGUUCUCUUUUUUAGUUUUGUCUUUGUGUGGCUUGGCUUGGCUAUCAAGGUAAUUGUAGCCUUGUGAAAAAGAGUUUGGCAAUGUCCCUUCUGCUUCUAUUGUGUGGAACAAUUUGAGGAGUACUGGUAUUAGCUCUUGUUUAAAUUUUUGGUAGAAUUCUGCACUGAAGCCAUCUGGCCUUGGGCUUUUUUUUUUUUUUUUUUUUUUUUUUUUUUUUUUUUUUUUUUUUUUUGGUUGGGAGAGUUUUGAUGGCUGCUUCUAUUUCAUUAGGGCUUAUAGGUCGAUUUGAACUGCUUGUCUGUUCUUGAUUUAGUUUUGUUAAGUGAUAUCUGUCCAGAAAAUUGUCCAUUUCCUUUAGAUUUUUGAAUUUUGUGGGGUGCAGGUUUUCAAAGUAUGACCUGAAGAUUCUCUGGAUUUCCUCAGUGUCUGUUGUUAUAUCUCCCUUUUCAUUUCUGAUUUUGUUAAUUAGCAUGCUGUCUCUCUGCCUUUCGGUUAGUUUGGAUAGAGGUUUGUCUAUCUUGUUGAUUUUCUCAAAGAACCAACUCUUUGUUUUAUUGGUUCCAUCCCUCAGUUUGAUUGUUUCCUGGCUUCUACUCCUGUGUGAGUUUGCUUCUUUUUGUUC